GACGAACGCUGGCGGCGUGCUUAACACAUGCAAGUCGAACGGUAAGGCCCUUCGGGGUACACGAGUGGCGAACGGGUGAGUAACACGUGGGUGAUCUGCCCUGCACUUCGGGAUAAGCCUGGGAAACUGGGUCUAAUACCGGAUAGGACCACUGCCUGCAUGGGUGGUGGUGGAAAGCUUUUGCGGUGUGGGGUGGGCCCGCGGCCUAUCAGCUUGUUGGGGGGGUGAUGGCCUACCAAGGCGACGACGGGUAGCCGGCCUGAGAGGGUGACCGGACACACUGGGACUGAGGUACGGCCCAGACUCCUACGGGAGGCAGCAGUGGGGAAUAUUGCACAAUGGGCGCAAGCCUGAUGCAGCGACGCCGCGUGAGGGAUGACGGCCUUCGGGUUGUAAACCUCUUUCAGCACCGACGAAGCGCAAGUGACGGUAGGUGCAGAAGAAGGACCGGCCAACUACGUGCCAGCAGCAGCCGCCG
rnacentral:rRNA from 1 species